UACGGAGGGUGCAAGCGUUGUCCGGAAUCACUGGGCGUAAAGGGCGCGUAGGCGGCUCAUGAAGGCUGUGGUGAAAGUCCGAGGCUCAACCUCGGAUCGGCCGUGGCGACUCGUGGGCUGGAGCACUGUAGAGGCGGGUGGAAUUCCGGGUGUAGCGGUGGAAUGCGUAGAGAUCCGGAAGAACACCAGUGGCGAAGGCGGCCCGCUGGGCAGUGGCUGACGCUGAAGCGCGACAGCGUGGGGAGCAAACAGG
rnacentral:rRNA from 1 species